rnacentral:rRNA from 1 species
GACGAACGCUGGCGGCGUGCCUAAUACAUGCAAGUAGAACGCUGAAGGAGGAGCUUGCUUCUCUGGAUGAGUUGCGAACGGGUGAGUAACGCGUAGGUAACCUGCCUGGUAGCGGGGGAUAACUAUUGGAAACGAUAGCUAAUACCGCAUAAGAGUAGAUGUUGCAUGACAUUUGCUUAAAAGGUGCAAUUGCAUCACUACCAGAUGGACCUGCGUUGUAUUAGCUAGUUGGUGGGGUAACGGCUCACCAAGGCGACGAUACAUAGCCGACCUGAGAGGGGGAUCGGCCAAACUGGGACUGAGACACGGCCCAGACUCCUACGGGAGGCAGCAGUAGGGAAUCUUCGGCAAUGGACGGAAGUCUGACCGAGCAACGCCGCGUGAGUGAAGAAGGUUUUCGGAUCGUAAAGCUCUGUUGUAAGAGAAGAACGAGUGUGAGAGUGGAAAGUUCACACUGUGACGGUAUCUUACCAGAAAGAGACGGCUAACUACGUG